rnacentral:rRNA from 1 species
AAGACCUUGCGCUUUUGGAGCGGCCGAUGUCUGAUUAGCUAGUUGGUGGGGUAAUGGCCUACCAAAGCUUCGAUCAGUAGCCGGUCUGAGAGGACGGCCAGCCACACUGGGACUGAGACACGGCCCAGACUCCUACGGGAGGCAGCAGUGGGGAAUUUUGGACAAUGGGCGCAAGCCUGAUCCAGCCAUGCCGCGUGAGUGAAGAAGGCCUUCGGGUUGUAAAGCUCUUUCAGCCGGGAAGAAAAGGUUGCGACUAAUAAUCGCAAUCCAUGACGGUACCGAAAGAAGAAGCACCGGCUAACUACGUGCCAGCAGCCGCGGUAGUACGUAGGGUGCGAGCGUUAAUCGGAAUUACUGGGCGUAAAGGGUACGCAGGCGGUUUUGUAAGUCAGAUGUGAAAGCCCCGGGCUCAACCUGGGAACU